AACCCUCCUUAGGGCAUAACCUUCUAUUU
rnacentral:piRNA from 1 species